rnacentral:precursor_RNA from 1 species
GUAUGACACCUAUCAGCACGUGUGAGCCCGCCCUGUGCCCGGCCCACUUCUGCUUCCUCUUAGCGCAGGAGGGGUCCCGCACUGGGAGGGGCCCUCACAGCCUACCCCGCUAGCUUUC